GUUUAUCAAAUUGAACCCCAAAGUUUAACCACAAAUAUGUCGGAUGAAGACAAAGCCGCAAAGACGGUAAUAUGUUGCUCACCAAUCUUUUCCAAAUCAUAGGGAAACAAAACUAACUACAUCACCCAUUCGUUUAUAGCAAAAGCACAACCUUCACUAUAAAUCAAUAACCUCUUUAAUUACAUUUCAAAUGGCCCAACUACGUAAACUAUACUAGAAUUGAAAUGGUGUCCAAACUCAUUGAAAGCCUUUUAACUUCAAGCAGAGAUUAAACAGAAGUUUAACAAUUUUUAACCAUUCAAUGAAGGUAUAAUACAAAGGAGUCGAGAACUCACCUAAUCGAACACUAAAGAAUUAGCAGAAAAAGAGUAUUAUUUGGAGAUCUUCUGUUAGCCCAAGAUCGUUAACUAAGAUUGGAGGAUUCAACUAAAGAAGAGGAAGUUUGAAAGAAAAGAGAGAUUUUUGGAAGGAGAACUUUGUUAUUGGAAGAAGGUUUUCUUGAAU
rnacentral:lncRNA from 1 species